rnacentral:rRNA from 2 species
GGAUGCGAUCAUACCAACUCACAUGCACCGAAUCCCAUCAGAACUCCGAAGUUAAGCGAGAGUAGUACGAGGACGGGUGACCUCCUGGGAAGUCCUCGUGUUGCAUCCC